UACGUAGGGUGCGAGCGUUGUCCGGAAUUAUUGGGCGUAAAGAGCUCGUAGGCGGUUUGUCACGUCUGCUGUGAAAUCCCGGAGGCUCAACCUCGGGCCUGCAGUGGGUACGGGCAGACUGGAGUGCGGUAGGGGAGAAUGGAAUUCCUGGUGUAGCGGUGGAAUGCGCAGAUAUCAGGAGGAACACCGAUGGCGAAGGCAGUUCUCUGGGCCGUAACUGACGCUGAGGAGCGAAAGCGUGGGGAGCGAACAGG
rnacentral:rRNA from 1 species